AAGAGUUCUUUCCCCCAUUUUUUACAGAUCACAGUUGGAGUAAUAUUUCUACUCAGAAUUUAAAACUUAAUUGAUUUCUUCAAUAAAUCCUGCUUUAUAUCAAGAGAAUGAAGGGAGAAAGAAGUGACCAUAACUGCAAGCCCCAAGAUAUCAUCUAUUAUCAUGGCAGACAAUAGGACACGGUGAAGAUGGACACGGCGGUCAUGUUCCAUUUGCCAGCAUGAAUUAUCUCCCGAUCCUGUCCUUUAGUGGCGUUGGUCUCUGAGUGUCCCACUUUGAAAAGAGUCUGAAGCCAUUAUAACAAAAAGCAUUGGAAGGGCUUGGGCUGUUAAAGGCUACAUCUGGGCUCAGCAACAUGCAUACUAAUAACAUCAUUACAGCCGAGUGGUUUGGAGAGAAAAAAUACAGAAUUGAUGGAAGACAGCUGAAAACAGUCAGCAGCUGAGAGUCCAGCACUGCUGGCAUCUGAUCUUAAUCAUAAUAUAUUCUCUGUCUGGUUUGUCAGAAUCUAUCACUCAAGAAUACCUUCAAUGGACAGUAAUUUGAGGUGUGGCUUAUUAGAUCACACGAUCUUAUGAAUAAUAAAAAGUUAUGGAAAAUUGCA
rnacentral:lncRNA from 1 species